AUGGCUGUGUUUCUCCGCAGGGGCCGCGGGCUCAGGACCAAGACGGUGAAGAAGGGCCGCUCGGGUCAUCAUCGAGAAGUACUACACCCGGCCUGGCAGCGACUUCCACACCAACAAGCGCGUGUGCGAGGAGAUCGCCAUCAUCCCCAGCAAGAAGCUGCGCAACAAGAUCGCUGGGUACGUCACACACCUGAUGAAGCGCAUCCAGAGAGGUCCAGUCAGAGGAAUCUCCAUCAAGCUGCAGGAGGAGGAGCGUGAGCGCAGAGACAACUACGUGCCCGAGGUCUCCGCUCUGGACCAGGAGAUCAUCGAGGUCGACACUGACACCAAGGAAAUGCUCAAGCUUCUGGACUUCGGCAGCCUGUCCAAUCUUCAGGUGACCCAGCCUCCGGUCGGCAUGAACUUCAAGACCCCUCGCGGCGUCUAGACAUUUGUAAUAUAUCUCUUAAUAAAACCUGUGGAAAACCAA